rfam:Homo sapiens chromosome 10, GRCh38 reference primary assembly.
UUGAGGAUGAUGGAGCUGGGGUAUCUGUCAACUCACCGGUUGCCAGAGUCCAUGUGACUAAUAUGGCUGGCUUGAUGUUCUCUUCCUCACUCAUCACAUAGUGAGGAAUCCUCCUGAAAUUCCGUGCCUGGUCAGAGAGAAUGAUGUUCCCUAGUAGAGAAGAACUGUUCUUCAAUCAAAAGUAAGCUGUCACAGAACUCCCCUGCAAGAACCUUUGUACCAGUUAAACUAUUACUGGCGAAUUUAAGCAGAAAAUGAGGAUUAUUAUAAGGGUAGUGGGCAUAUUUUUAGAAGAAAAUGUAAAAAAAAAAUUAUGACCUUGGUAAUGAUGAGGAAACAUUUCUU